UGCAACUCGACUCCAUGAAGCUGGAUUCGCUAGUAAUCGCGCAUCAGCCAUGGCGCGGUGAAUACGUUCCCGGGCCUUGUACACACCGCCCGUCACACCAUGAGAGUUGAGAAUACCCGAAGCCCAUGUCAAAGUGGUCGAAGGUAGGCUUGAUGAUUGGGGUGAAGUCGUAACAAGGUAGC
rnacentral:rRNA from 1 species